AUUCAUUUGACGAGUUCCAAAUAGGACAAAACACGCUUUGUCCUGAAU
rnacentral:hammerhead_ribozyme from 1 species